CUGCAGCUAUUAAGUAGACCAUGCUCCUUUCCUCACGGGGACCUAUGUGCAAUGGCUGCAAACAGCAGCCUCCUUGGUAGUGUAUGCAGCCUACUGCUUAUAUGGGUUGGUCUGAGGGAACUUUGAGACAUUC